rnacentral:rRNA from 1 species
AAACUGAAGAGUUUGAUCAUGGCUCAGAUUGAACGCUGGCGGUAUGCUUAACACAUGCAAGUCGAACGGUAACAGGCCUUCGGGCGCUGACGAGUGGCGGACGGGUGAGUAACGCGUAGGAAUCUGCCUCAUAGUGGGGGACAACGUGGGGAAACUCACGCUA